rnacentral:rRNA from 1 species
GACGAACGCUGGCGGCGUGCUUAACACAUGCCAGUCGAACGGAAAGGCCCUGCUUUUGUGGGGUGCUCGAGUGGCGAACGGGUGAGUAACACGUGAGUAACCUGCCCUUGACUUUGGGAUAACUUCAGGAAACUGGGGCUAAUACCGGAUAGGAGCUCCUGCUGCAUGGUGGGGGUUGGAAAGUUUCGGCGGUUGGGGAUGGACUCGCGGCUUAUCAGCUUGUUGGUGGGGUAGUGGCUUACCAAGGCUUUGACGGGUAGCCGGCCUGAGAGGGUGACCGGCCACAUUGGGACUGAGAUACGGCCCAGACUCCUACGGGAGGCAGCAGUGGGGAAUAUUGCACAAUGGGCGGAAGCCUGAUGCAGCAACGCCGCGGGCGGGAUGACGGCCUUCGGGUUGUAAACCUCUUUCGCCUGUGACGAAGCGUGAGUGACGGUAAUGGGUAAAGAAGCACCGGCUAACUACGUG